AUUUGCCAAUAGGUCAACUAUAAAAUUUCUCUUGAAGUAAGGAAAACUUAAGGAGUGUGCUGUGUUCUGGUACUUGGCUCUGGUUAUAGUUCUCUCUCCAUGGCAGUCUGUGAUGGAAAAGACUUUCAAAGAUUCAGAGAAGAGACUCAGAAAGGACUCAGAAGGGUGGAGGACUGAGCAGUGAAGUGGAGGAAUGGGGCUGAGAGAUGAGCACCAACUUGGCCCCCGAGUAAAGCUGCGUGAUCAGCUUCUCCCGCUCGCAGGGCAUUUGUAACGGGGCAACCAGAUGGCUUCAGGAGGCACCUCUGAAGAUUCUGCAUUGCUCAGAUUAUGCAUAAGGAAUAAAAUGUCAUUAACAAUUUGAUUUUAAAUUUUCUGUGUCCUUUUAACUCAUUGUGACAAUAAACACAUGACA
rnacentral:lncRNA from 1 species